rnacentral:rRNA from 1 species
UACAGAGGUCCCGAGCGUUGUUCGGAUUUACUGGGCGUAAAGGAUGCGUAGGCGGAUAUUUAAGUGAGAUGUGAAAUACCCGAGCUUAACUUGGGUGCUGCAUUUCAAACUGGGUAUCUAGAGUGUGGGAGAGGAGAAUGGAAUUCCUAGUGUAGCGGUGAAAUGCGUAGAGAUUAGGAAGAACACCAGUGGCGAAGGCGAUUCUCUGGACCAUAACUGACGCUGAGGCAUGAAAGCGUGGGUAGCAAACAGG